GCUGGUCGUUACCCCUGCACUACUUCCAGGUGGUGACCUGGGCUGUCUUCGUGGGCCUUUCCUUGGCCAAGAAGAUGACCACCUUUGAGUAUCUCAUUAAUACCCGCAAAGAAGAGAGUUCAAAACAUCCAGCAGUGAGGAAAGAUCCAUACGUGCAAAUGGACAAAGGAUUUCUCCAGCAAGGAGAUGGCGCCCUGGGCUCAUCUGCACAGGG
rnacentral:sRNA from 1 species